GCAUCAAUGGGGUAGUGGUAACCUGGGUCGUUGCCAUCGUUGAAUCUUCGUAUUGAUUCGACCCGCCGGGGGUUCGAUUCCCUCUUGAUGCA
rnacentral:tRNA from 1 species